ACCAGGGGCGCGGGGCGGGGCCUAACGCGGACCUAACGGAACCGCGAAGGCGGGGCCACGCGGCCCCUGCCCUGCCUGCCCUGUACUCUCGGUUGUGCGCAGCCCCUCGGCCGCCCUCGUCACGCCCCAGGCUGACCCCGGGAGAGCAGCGGCUGUCCGAGGAAAGGGGCCGUCUGACAGACCCCACCGUCGCGGGGGUGCUGGGUCCCCGCAACGUCUUUGUGCCCACCGCCCACGGGGACCCGCGGGACUGUCCUCCCGGUGAGGCCACAGGGAUCCACGGACUGUCUUCCUACUGAGGCCCCUGUGGGUCCAAGCGGGUCACCGGCCCCUCCCUCCAGCAGAUGCCACAACGUAUCUGCUGUGUGUGACACAGCCUGGCAGGUGCUUUCCGGAAAUGGUUCAUUCACAACCAUUUGGCUGGCCUGGCACGUCCUGGGAUGCAGGUGCACAUUUACAGGGAGAGGCAGGUGCCGCCAGGAGCCACCGGCAGGAAUCAGGAAACACUCCCCCGGUUCUCGUCUCCCUGUAAUAAGUCACAGCCCUCGUGAAGGAGCCGGACCCGGGCCUCAGGCUCGCCCCUUCACGUCUGUUUGCAGGCCCCCAGGAACCAGACGACCUUCCGUCUUCUCUGGUGCUGGCUGCUCAGUGGCCCGGCGCACGGCCUCCUCUGACGGUGACAAUUACAGGAUGCUUUGAUACGUGGGGGCCUCCCUGAUGUCACGGGGACUGCGUCCCCUAGGGUGGUGACGACACCCCACCCACCCGCCUGCUUUCUCCGGCUCUCAGCCAUGGGGCUCUGACCCCCGGGGCAGCCCCUGUACCAGAGGAACUGAAAUUACUCAGACCUGCCAGUCCCCGGUAUGGUCAGCUGUCCCCUUGCCGGCUCAGUCCUUCCUAUGAAAACCACAGUAAGGCUUCCCCCCUCACUUCUUCUGCCCCUGACCGACCCUGGGGCCUCCAGGGGGGUGGCCCCGUGGGACCUGCCCUGCCUCCUGUGUCCAGGAAUCUGCGACCUUCAGCUGCUUCCUUCACGAUGAUCGCUUCGUGCCUGCGUGUCUCACGAGGCCUGCGUCCAGCAGAUCCCAGGCAUACACCCUCCGCUCAGUUGCGUACCUCCAUUUUCAGAAGAACCAACAGUUCUUUCAGCCCGGUUGAAAACUAACAAAUAAAAAACCAAAGACCAAAGUCGCCUAAAAACAGAACGCAGCUGACAGCAGCAGGAACAAAACAGUGAGUUUACAAGGUGUCUGUGUUUAAAAUCCUCGUGGGUAAGAAGAUGUUGGGAGACCGAUGCUGCUUUCUCUACGUGGCGUCCGAGGCUCAGAGCUGAGGGCCCGAUGGUUUACGGGGCCCACAGUCUGAGGUGGAUAAGAACAUCUCAAGUCAGCUCUCCAAGGACUUUGCUAAGAGACAGCAGCCCCCCGACAGGAAGGCAUGCGGGCCCGUCCCUCGCCUGCCCUGCGCCCUCUUGGUGUUCCCCGACGUGAAGCCAUUCGUUGGCCAACCGAGUCUCCGUCGGUGUAGACGGCACCGGAGGCAUCUUUGAAUUGCGGGGCCCCGCCCGCCUGCCAGAGAGUCGUCGAUGCGGCCGGCCUCGGAGGUGGCCGGUGCCCCAAAGUCGGAAGGGACCCGGCGCGGGUCAGCCGGAAAGACGGCCGCAAGGCUGCCGGGCUCCCUUUCUCUGGCGCUCAGAGGCUGCGACAGACACCUGACUGUGCAGGCCGCCCUGCGACACUGCCCAGCCCUUCCCGCCAGCAAUGCCAGACCUGAGGGCGGGCUCUUCCAGGCGGAAACGGGCAAGCUUUGUGUCCGGAACGAGCACUCUCAGGGGAUUUAGGUUUGUCUUCUGUGCCGCCGGCACUGUCCACAGGGACCUGGUCCACACGGGACCUCACUGUCAGCAGGGCCACUAACACUGGACUUAGUCGGCUGAGUGUCUUCCGCUCCACGUUUUCGACCGGCAUUAAGGCGCGUGGGGUGCAGGCUGGCGGCUCUCUCCUGUGUCAUGCGGUCGGUCACACUGUCACCUGUGAGGUGUCCCGGGCACCGAGGCCCUAGAUCAACACCCUGUGUUACAAGAGAUGCAGGCCCCAGAGGGACAGUCCCAGGAACACGUUGACCGGAGCCACAGAGAAGCGGCUGGGGCCAGUCGGGAACGUGGGACACUGGGCGGGACAAGCCAGCGAGCCGGGAGUGAGGAAAAGGGGUCCGGCGUCCGUGGAGGUCACAACGGCCCAGCGUGCUGUGUGAACCCGGCCUGACGUGACCAACGCAGAGUCUUCCCGGGACUUCCGCUGAUCUUCCUGGGCGGUAGGGGGCGUGGUGAGGUACAGGAACGGUCGCUCACGGGAGAAAUGGGCGGAGUCGAGUCGAGAGUCCAUAGCGCCUGCGCAAAGGCUCAGCGGCCUAGGCGGGGCGCGAGCGUGGGCACGAGCGUGGGCGCGAGGGCUGCUGGGUGACUAGCCGAGGUGACGACGGCCGGUCGUCUGGAACGUGGGUAUUCAUCUUCUCAUUUAAAAUCCUGUUCUGUGCACUUAGCCGCCCUCAGUCGGCGGGAAAACGUACUUGACCGCGAAACCGUUCUCGCAACGCCCGCUCGCAGGGUGCCCCUCGCGCUGCCGAAGACGAGCCAGAGCGGAGGUGACGGAGACUGCGCGGCUCCUCUGUGCGCAGGCUCCGGGCCGGCGACCUUCCUGCCACUACGCUGCAACCAGGCGGCCCACGGUGCGGCCACUUUGGGUUGCUAAAUAUCUAGAUACUUCCGGCCCGCAUUGCCAGGUCCACCAGGCGUCCCCACCGGCCGGUAAUUACCGUCGCACUGCCUGGCGGCCGAGCCUUCUGCGUGUGGCUCCCCUCACCUCCCGGCCCCGCCGUGGGAUCCGUCAAGCUAGUACUUUCCACGAGCCAAGCCCUUGGGACGGCGCCUGCCACCGGAUGAACACUCGAACUAUUUACAAGAGGUGGACAUCAGCAAUACAGAGAUCAAAUGAGAGAGGCCUCAUCAGAGGGGAGUCGAUGGAGAAAACGGUGGGCAUGUUUUCCUUAUAAUCGGCUGAGCGUGGGGAAAAAAAAGUCACGAACAAAGAGAACUCAAAUAAUGCAACCUGGUGGCGUCUGAAAGAAAUGACCAACAUUCUGAUACGUUAUUAACAAGAAGCAAGACGAGGCGGUGACGGACCGCGGGCCGUACGUUCCCGUCGGGUAUUCUGCAUGCUACUGAACAGAAUUUGUCAAAAGAACCAUAAAAGCAUGAGAGAAGUACGUAAAAGAGCUGGGUCCCAGUGAGGUGUAACUUUGCACAGAGGUGAAUAUUUGGCACUCUGCUCAUCCUCGUUGAUAUGGUUUCAUAUGUAUAUAUAUUUAUAUAUAUAUGUGUAUAUAUAUAUAUUUAUAUACUUCUUUUUAAAACUUGAACUAAACAGCUAGUUUCCUGGUUCUAACGUUCCUUGAACUUCUAUAGGAGGCAUUGAAUUUAGUCCUUAGGCCACCCCUGGGUAUUUUGGCACGUAACAUGGAGGUGGGUAUGUGAGCUGGUCUCUAGACAGGAAGGACCUGUACAAGAGGAAAGUGGCUUAGCGAUCGGAAAUCUGAGUUCAAAAGUAGUCUAGGAUUGUUUACUACUUGUGGGGGAAACCUUUGAAUUCAGCAAACCAGUUAUAAGGUGGAGGGAGGGAGACACAUGCUGAGCCCUUUUACUGUGAUGUGGUCCUAACGCUGGGAUGGCAGGGGCGGGGCAUGGGCGUGAGUUGGGGAAAACCAAAGAAUGGUGAGUGGCGUCCAUAAAGGACCACAGACAGCCUCUGAGCUCCCUUCACGUGUGUUGGCCGAAGCACAGAGCACACCGUCUACUGGCUAGAGAGAGAUUUGUACUUAAAUUGGCACAAGAAACUGGGCCGACGUCGUUCGUCAUGACCCCUCCCCCACUGAGUACGUGAAAGCUUGGACUCCCAAGCCUUUCAGGUUCAGAAUAAGCACCCAUGAUGAAGAGUCACAUAAAAUCUAAGAAAGUAGGGCGGUAAGCCUCUGUUACCUUAGUUGGUGUAUGUACAAAAUCUCUUUAAAAAGUACUGGUGGAGUAGGUAACUAACGUUUCCUCUGCAAAGAAGUCAUCUGUCACGUGUUUACACUGAAACUUGAAAUAAUUUCUUCUCACGCUGGAUAGAAAUGCGAGGGUUAGGGUUAGCGAUUCAUAAAGUUACGGACACGUCGCAAUGUUGCAGGGAUGAAAAGAUGGGUGUUUCUUGGAGCGUUCCCGUGGACCACUUCCGCCUUCUCUGAAGCCUGAGCUAGAACAAUCACAAAGAGUUGGAAUCAGAGGGGCAGAUGUCGCAAACCUUCAGCAAUUUCAGUCUGUCUGAUUCCAUUCUUGAUGUGCUCCCAAAUUGUGUUCCUUCACCCCUUGAACACUGGGCUUGAUAGCCAUCCAUGCAUCUAAGAUGCCGCUGACCUUAAGUAAUGGCGAAGACAUUGCCUAAUUCUGGGCGGCAUCUGGUUCUCUGAGAUACUUAUGAACGGACCUGACUUUUGCCAACGUCCCACACCUGGUGGGGAGGACUAUUGAUUGGCCAGAGGGCCCUGGGCCUCAUCUUGAGUGGUAAUUCAGGCUUUUGCCACCAGUCCGCAAGGAGCUUGGAGGACUUUGGAGCCCACAUGACAUUGAUUUUCAUAAUCUGUCUGCGAGUGAGACAAGAGACAGGAGGAAACAGACGUGAAAUGAAGUCUGGCUGGUGUAUGACUGGGAGCCAGGUUGUUUGAUGGGUCAGCUAGUGAUUUUCCAAAACAUUGUGCGGCCACUCUGUGCUGACGGGCGUGUUGUCGGGCGUGUGGAAGGGCACCUCUCCUCCAACACUCGGUCACCUUCCCUGCCUUACUGCGACCGUCAGCACAGCACAGGGGCCCUGAUAUAACAGACACGGGAGGGGUUCAGAGUGAAGCAAUACGCCCAAUGCUCCAGCCAAGCGGUUGAACGUGUUCCCACUCAGCAGCGGACCACAUCCCCGAUCUCUUCUGCUUGUGGUUUUCUGAUCUGUUUUCAAGUUUUGGCAUCCUGUAUUCAACCCAAACUUUCGAAGGGUAAACAGAUACGCAAAUGAAAACAAAAGAGAACCCUCGGGAAGUUCCAAGGGCAUGUGGCUUGGAGACCACAGUCUGCAACUACCUGAUUAGUGUGUUAAAUUUGCAGUAGAAAAAAAAAAAAAAUCAGUGGUCUUGAGAAGAAAGGAGGCGUCUGGGAAAGCAGCAAGGAGUACACAGAAACGUGUCGAAUUUGGCUUGAGGCGGGUUUCUGGGGGGACCAGACUCAACACUUGUUGACUUGUUGGCAGGACUGUUCUGGUUUUCAGCAGUGGGGGGUCAGACGCCGCACGCAGGUGCCCUCCCACGUGGGCACACUCAAGUGGGACAUGCCACGUUUGUACGCUUCCUGCUGACACCACCGAGAUGUUGGGGGGCCUCUCUCACGAACAGCAGCCCAGCCACUCUGUGCAGCCUGGGGACGCGCCAGCUCCCAGGCUGACUCCAAACAGCAGCACCCGACCUCCUGCCCAGUGAAGGUUCUGGUAACACGCUGGCUGCCCUUCCCAGCAAAAACCCAACUCGGUGUGGGCUGGUGGUCCUCUAAGAGGCUCCACGGGCCACACGAGGUCCGGUCUGGCUGUACCAGCCUUCUGGCAAAGACCAUGACCCCUCUCACUCCUUCCUACUCGCCAGCAAGAGGUCUGGCCCAGAGCAGACAGUGGUUCCGACGAGCGAACACACAGUCACCACGGGAACCUUGGUCAACGGCUGCCGGGUGACGACUUUCUGGAAUGUUCGUCCUGGGUGGGGCUGGGGCAGGGUGUCUGGCAGGGCUGAAAGUACGCAGCCUGGGGUCUUUUGACUGGCGUGCGGGGACCGUGUUGGGAAAGGCAAACAUCUAGAAGACACAACCCCAGAGCAACGAUCGCAGCCCGGCAGUCCUACACGUUUGCGGAGAGGAAGUGGUAACAACCGUUACCGGUGACAACGCAGACGGUGCACGCGACGACGACAAACGAGGAUGGGGGAGAGGAGUUAUGUGCAAAGUGCUCUUGUUCCCAAGCGACAUUCACCUGCUCGGGCUUCGUGGAACUUACAGGUCCUGUUUAUCAUACUUGUGUUUUGAUUUUGAAAGUUAAACUAAAGCCUUCAGCGUGGCGAUGCUGCCGUGAGCAAAACGCUGUGUCAGCUCGUGUCUCGACAGUUAGGCGGUGUCUUCGGGAAGAAUGCUGUCCGAUCUGAGCGUCUCCGGCAUACGCAAAAUCUCUUACUGAAACUAUCUCCAUAACGUGGUGAGACGGCCACACUACAGGUCUGUGGUGCGUAUCUGCCAGAAGUGCCAGAAAUAAGUUGGUUUGAUUGACUAACACAAGUAUUAUAAACAGUUUUAUUUUUCGUUACAUGUACAAUAUGUAAACAUGGCUUAUCUGCAUUUCACGGUGGGAUGUCGCCUGUGUGAGAAGUGAAAAUAUUGCACUGAGUCAUGGUGGCAGGUGACACUGCCUGGGGCCGGCGGCAGGCCCUGGCUGCGUGUCACACGACCUUCUUUGGGACUCGGUGGACCGGACAGGGGUUCGUAUGCACCCCCCACUGCGAAUCGGUGGCCACUGUCACGUUUAGCUACAGGUUAAUCUGCUCACCUAGGGGUGGUUCAGGCCAAAACUUUUGGGGGAUUUUAAGAUAAAAAUGAGUAUACAAAACAUAAAAAAAGAAUCCAAAUUCAGUGAACACUUUCAUUCAAGUCAGGGUCAGAGAAGCUGGGAUCUAGAAUAGUUGUUGUCUAAUCUUAGAAUUUGUCGUUAGACGUUUUGUACAAGCUGCAGGAAAUGAGGUAAAAUGCAUCGGCGGCCAGUAGAUUUACAUGUGUCAGCAGGUCUGGGCGCAUAUGUGCAUUUUACAUUUCCUCUCCCUAGGGCGUCUACGCUGACUUUGCUUUUCUGUGGCUCUUUCUAAAGAGCAGUUCAUCUUAAAUAAUACAUCAUUUUUAAAGUCUAAAAUGCCAAUACUUGCAAAUACAUUUGUUUGUAACAUAGUAUAGUGAGUAUAGGAAGAAGUGUCGUUACUGUAUACUACUCAGGAUUUAAAUAUUUAUUUAGGUAGAAAAAAUGCUUUGAAUACUCUGGGGAAAUAGGAUUCAUUUAUAGAAGAAUAUUUCAGGGAAUUUUUUUUUUUUUGCAUUUUUCAAGGAUAUACAUUCGUACUGAUUUUUGCUUCCAAAUAUAUUUUAAGGCUGUUUGGUAAAAUAUACCAGAUACGAGGCUCAAUUUACAGGGUUUUGUUCUUACAGGGAAUUCUUAACUACUCAGCUUUAAAAAAGUAAGACUUGGAAGGCCAACAUGCUUUAGUAUCAACUGUGCUCCAGUGAACCCCAUGCUUGGUUGGAUGGAGAGUAUGAGGAAAAGAAAACACUGCAGGCCGAAGCAGCACCCCCGGGGGAUGACCUCACUGGAUGUCCUGCUGGUGUCACCAGGCUGCAGGGGGACCUGGGGGCAUGACAGUGCCCGUCAAGCUGAGGAAACAAAGUGCCAGAGGAGUGGGGACUCCGAGUUUGGGAUCCGAGGGAGAGAUUUGACGGGCUCUUCCUCUGCAGACGCGUCUGGACAGGGACACAGGAAAGCGAUGCUGGGAUGACGGUCACUGCGUCUAAGCGUGAUUGUACAAGUGGAAAGCCUUUUCAUUCGAAUCCUUCCUGCUUUGCUCUGGUGCCAGUCAGAAUCCUGAAACCUAAUUACUUUUCUCAGAGUCCACAGCUGGAAAUCACCACAUGUGACCUUUUUUUUUUGUCAUGUCUAAAACAGGCAAGAAAUAUAUUCUUGACUUUAGCGAUACUGCAUAGGACAAAAGAAUUCUGGAAAAAUACAAAUGUAAGCUACAUUUCUUCUUUACCAUUUAAGCUGAGAGAUACCACUCACAUUCAUAUUUCUUAAACUUUUUACAUCACAACUGUCAUUUUAAACAAGCAAACUUUUUUUUUUUUUUUAAGGAUACCCUGGAAAGUCAACUGAUAGAGCAGUUUGAGAAUAUAUAUACAUCCAUAAAAAAAAUCACAGGUACAUAAAUGGGGACACUUACAGACAAGACUGUGUGUGGUAGAAGUUAUGAAGGAAUAAAACAUACGAUGACUCUUU